AUUGAACGCUGGCGGCAGGCUUAACACAUGCAAGUCGAGCGAGCGGCGGACGGGUGAGUAAUGUCUGGGAAACUGCCUGAUGGAGGGGGAUAACUACUGGAAACGGUAGCUAAUACCGCAUACCAUCAGAUGGGCCCAGAUGGGAGUAGCUAGUGGGUGGGGUAAUGGCCGACCUAGGCGACGAGCCUUAGCUGGUCUGAGAGGAUGACCAGACCCACUGGAACUGAGACACGGUCCAGACUCCUACGGGAGGCAGCAGUGGGGAAUAUUGCACAAUGGGCGCAAGCCUGAUGCAGCCAUGCCGCGUGUGUGAAGAAGGCCUUCGGGUUGUAAAGCACUUUAAGCGAGGAGGCGUUACUCGCAGAAGAAGCACCGGCUAACUCCGUGCCAGCAGCCGCGGUAAUAC
rnacentral:rRNA from 1 species